rnacentral:rRNA from 1 species
AUUAAUAAUAAGCAAAGAAAAAGUUAAAAUUUGUACCUUUUGUAUUAUGGUUCAAUAAGGUUAUGUAAAUAUAGUUUUAUAGCCCGAAGCUGAGCGAGCUAAUGUAUUCUGCUUUAAGAGAUGAGGUUUUUACUGUUGCAAUAGUUAGACCUGAGGAUACAUUAGGUGUGACAUGCUUAUCGUGCUCAGGGAUAGCUGGUUUUCCUAGAAAUUAGUGUAAGCUAGGUGUAUAUAUUUAUCAUAGUGUGAUUAUCUUUAGGGAUAAUGCUAUAGUAUUGAUAAUAAUGUGAUUUUUAGACAGGAAGGGUUAAGCUUUUUUGUCAAAGAAGAAAAAGCUUUGAAUUACUAAUUAAGAAUAGUUUUAUGAGAAUGUGUUGAAGGUUUGAUAAAAAGUAGGAUUAAUAGCAUCUAACUUUGUGGAGGGCGUUAAAGCUUAUUUAUUAAUAAGAAAUACAGAUUAUUUUAGUAGUAUUAUUCUAAAUUGUAAGAAUAUAUAGGAAAAUUUCAUUAACAUGAAAGUUAUAAUGUUGGAAUUAGUAGAGAAUAAGUAUGUAUUUUUUGUGUAUUAAUCAAUCCUUACAUUGGAUGGAGCAAUUAAAGUUAUAGACGAGAAAUUAGUUUGUUUAAAUUGUCUACUAACACAAGUAAUAUAGAACAAGUAAAUAAAAGGGAAAGGAACUCGGCAAACAUGGAUUUCGCCUGUUUACCAAAAACAUCGCUCUUUGAAAAGAAUCUGAUAUAUAAAGAGUCCUGCCUGCCCGGUGACUUAGUUAAACGGCCGCGGUAUCUUGACCGUGCAAAGGUAGCAUAAUCAUUUGCCUCUUAAAUGGAGGCUGGUAUGAAUGGCAAGACGGAAAUCAAGCUGUCUCUCUCUUAUAUUUUGAAGUUAAUAUCUUUGUGAAGAAGCAGAGAUAAGAUCGUAGGACGAGAAGACCCUAUCGAGCUUAAAUAGUAGUAAGAUACAAGCAUACUAAUAUUACUUUAUUGCUAAUUGAUAGUUUUUAACGGUUAAAAUAGUUUACUUUUGGGUAACAGUGUUGUGUAUAUUAUAUUUAGGUUGGGGCAACCACGGAGAACAAGUAUCCUCCGUUAGAUUAAUUAUUAAAAAAUUUUUUUAAAAUAUAAGAUUUAUAUAGAAGUGAUCCACUAUAAGGUGAGUAAAAGAAUAAGUUACCGUAGGGAUAACAGCGUAAUUUUCUUGGAGAGUUCAUAUUGAUAAGAAAGUUUGCGACCUCGAUGUUGGAUCGGGAUUUCCUAGAGAUGUAGCAGUUUCUAA